UCUGAUUGCAGCAAUGAGAAUCAGCUGCCGUAAUUGGCUCACACCAGUCACCUGUUUGCAAUUCCACCUCCCAGCAUAUAAGCCAGCUCUGUCAUUCACUCUCUGCUCCACCAUGAGCUCUGAUGGCCUGCAUCAACUCGUGACCACCGGAGCUUCUUGGACACGACUCUGCCCUUGUACCCCUGCCGGUUCCUCUAUGGGUUUCCUACCUACCCCUUCAGCUGAGUUUCUUCCCGUUCCCUUCCUCCCUGAAUCUUCCACCUGCCUUCAGUCUGAUUGCAGCAAUGAGAAUCAGCUGCCGUAAUUGGCUCACACCAGUCACCUGUUUGCAAUUCCACCUCCCAGCAUAUAAGCCAGCUCUGUCAUUCCCUCCCUGCUCCACCAUGGAGUCGCAUAUCCUGCGUCGACUCGUGACCACCAGAGCUUCUUGGACACGACUCUGCCCUUGUACCCCUGCCGGUUCCUGUAUGGGUUUCCUACCUACCCCUUCAGCUGAGUUUCUUCCCGUUCCCUUCCUCCCUGACUGUUCCACCUGCCUGCAGUCUGAUUGCAGCAAUGAGAAUCAGCUGCCGUAAUUGGCUCACACCAGUCACCUGUUUGCAAUUCCACCUCCCAGCAUAUAAGCCAGCUCUGUCAUUCCCUCCCUGCUCCACCAUGGACUCGCAUAUCCUGCGUCGACUCGUGACCACCAGAGCUUCUUGGACACGACUCUGCCCUUGUACCCCUGCCGGUUCCUGUAUGGGUUUCCUACCUACCCCUUCAGCUGAGUUUCUUCCCGUUUCUGAUUGCAGCAAUGAGAAUCAGCUGCCGUAAUUGGCUCACACCAGUCACCUGUUUGCAAUUCCACCUCCCAGCAUAUAAGCCAGCUCUGUCAUUCCCUCCCUGCUCCACCAUGGACGUGCACAUCCUGCGUCGACUCGUGACCACCAGAGCUUCUUGGACACGACUCUGCCCUUGUACCCCUGCCGGUUCCUGUAUGGGUUUCCUCCCUACCCCUUCAGCUGAGUUUCUUCCCGUUCCCUUCCUCCCUGACUGUUCCACCUGCCUGCAGUCUGAUUGCAGCAAUGAGAAUCAGCUGCCGUAAUUGGCUCACACCAGUCACCUGUUUGCAAUUCCACCUCCCAGCAUAUAAGCCAGCUCUGUCAUUCCCUCCCUGCUCCACCAUGGACGUGCACAUCCUGCGUCGACUCGUGACCACCAGAGCUUCUUGGACACGACUCUGCCCUUGUACCCC
ensembl:lncRNA